GGAGGAGCUGAAGGAGAACGAGGAGGGGCCUGAGGGUAACACCACCCAGCUCUUGUGUACUCCAGCAUGGCUUCGGCCUCAUCCGGCUGCGGGGCCGGGCUGUUACGUUUUCUGCAUCUAGUCGGGCAGCUCAAGAGAGUCCCACGGACUGGCUGGGUAUACAGAAAUGUUAAAAAGCCAGAAAGCGUGUCAGAUCACAUGUACCGGAUGGCAGUUAUGGCUAUGGUGACCAGAGAUGACCGUCUUAACAAGGAUAGAUGUAUACGCCUAGCCCUGGUUCACGAUAUGGCAGAAUGCAUCGUUGGGGAUAUAGCACCUGCAGAUAACAUCCCUAAAGAAGAGAAACACAGAAGAGAGGAGGAGGCUAUGAAGCAGAUAACGCAGCUGCUGCCGGAGGACCUCAGGAAGGAGUUAUAUGAACUCUGGGAGGAGUAUGAGACCCAGUCUAGUGAAGAAGCCAGAUUCGUGAAGCAACUGGACCAGUGUGAAAUGAUCCUUCAGGCAUCAGAAUAUGAAGACAUAGAGAAUAAGCCUGGGAGGCUUCAAGACUUCUAUGAUUCCACAGCAGGACCAAGUCAAUGUUGGAAGAAAUGGUGCUUACAGAAGAGAUCUCAAGCUAAGAGACUGUCCAACUAACGAAACCAGUAGGGAAGAUUCACAAGUAGAGGCAUAUGUGUGGACUUAGAAUUCCCCAGGCAAGGUCAGAGAAGAAGCCGUGCUAAGGAACGGAGUCUCCUAAUCGCGCUGAACCCAGAGGCAAUCGGCCAUCGUGGACUUCAACCUCAAUUAGCAGAGGUUCAGGGCAUCACUACUAGGAGAGAGCUGAUCCUGUGCCACAGCACUCCAUACCCAAAUACCACCUGGAGAGACUGGCACCCCAGGAGUGUGGACAAGCUGGUGAGUGAAGGAAAACCAAUGUGAAAGGACAUGAGAAUAUACAUUUCUACACUGUGAAAUGUUUUGCAAGAAUAAAAUGCGCAAGAAUUAGAAAAGUUUACCAGAAGUCUUAGAUAUGAGAACGCAAUGGACAAGAAACAAAAGACAAUCAACUGCCUGGAAUGUUAACAUCAAAAGAUAUGUGAAUUUACAUCUAAGCCACUAUCAAAUGUUCAAAGCAGAACAACGGGCAGUACCGAGAAGGCUCUGUGCAUCAUCACCUUCUGCACUGUGACAGGGCUCAAAGAGCCUUUGACCUAACAUUACUGCUUUUGAAAAAUGAAUUUGUAAGAAAAAAGGGAAUAUACCUAAGAAGAUAGGUAUAAAAUAUUAAAGUACUGCCUGUAACUGUGAGAGAAGUACAAAAUUAAACCAAGCACAGCAUA